rnacentral:rRNA from 1 species
GAUGAACGCUAGCGGCAGGCCUAUCACAUGCAAGUCGAGGGGGAAGUUACUUUCGGGUGACUGAGACCGGCGUACGGGUGCGUAACGCGUAUACAAUCUGCCUUUCACUGGGGGAUAGCCCGAAGAAAUUUGGAUUAAUACCCCAUAGUAUAUAGGGACGGCAUCGUUUUUAUAUUAAAGCUUAGGUGGUGAAAGAUGAGUAUGCGUUCUAUUAGCUAGUUGGAGAGGUAACGGCUCCCCAAGGCGAUGAUAGAUAGGGGUUCUGAGAGGGAUGUCCCCCACACUGGUACUGAGAUACGGACCAGACUCCUACGGGAGGCAGCAGUGAGGAAUAUUGGACAAUGGUCGGAAGACUGAUCCAGCCAUGCCGCGUGCAGGAUGAAGGUCUUAUGGAUUGUAAACUGCUUUUGUAAGGGAAGAAUAAGGGCUACGCGUAGUUUGAUGACGGUACCUUACGAAUAAGCAUCGGCUAACUCCGUG